GGGUGGUGGUAGGUGGUGAGUGGGUGGUGAGUGGGUGGUGAGUGGGUGGUGAGUGGCUGCUGAGUGGCUGCUGAGUGGGUGGUGAGUGGGUGGUGAAGGCUGGUGAGUGGGUGGUCAAAGGCUGGUUAUGGGUGGUGAGUGGGUGGUGAGGGGUGGUCAACGGCUGGUUAUGGGUGGUGAGUGGGUGGUGAGGGGUGGUGAGAGGGUGGUGAGUGGCUGGUGAGUGGGUUGUGAGUGGGUGGUGGGUGGCUGGUGAUGGGUGGUGAGUGGGUGGUGAACAGGUGGUGAGUGGGUGGUGAGAGGGUGGUGAUGGGUGGUGGUAGGUGGUGAGUGGCUGG
ensembl:lncRNA